CUCAGGAUCUGCCGUAAAUUUGUGUGUGAGGCUGAAUUCAUAGCUCGAGGACAGUCUCAGUGGCUCCUUGUAAUGAUCUAAAUAUAGACACCUCACCUCCAGUUCAGAGCAGAGGAACGAUGCUGCUUUGCUGACUCCUUGCUGUGGCAUGCUUGGUCCAAGGCCAGAGGAUGAGUUCAAGUUGUGCCAUGUGGCUGGCCUGCCAACUAUCACUGGGAGAGACCGUCUUCCAGGAUCUGAAGUUCCUGUAAGUCAUCCCUUUACUAAGACAUUGGGGUGCAUGUCUCAUCUCUUACUAGCAAAGAGCUUGUUACAGGCAGGGAAGCUUGGUUUGGAUUAUGUCUGCUGCUAGAACAAGCAAGUGCCAAUAUUUUAUUAUGUGUUUAUUAUCCCAGAUCAACAUCUGGCACUUGGGAAGAGUAUCAAAAAUACGCAUCCGAUGAAUGAAAGAAGAAACCAAGGAAUGGUCAAAGGCCUCCCUAGGAGGGAAGACCUUUUUGGAACUUUACAAUAUUGAGAGAGAAAUGUUUGCUCAGUGUGUGGGGUCAGAGGAUGGCUGGACAGGGGAUAGGAGCAGGCCAGGCUCUGAGCCUCACUGGGUGAAUAGGACAGAAAGGGAAAAGGAAGUCCUGGGCCUUCGAGGGAGGCCCCAGCUGCUUCCCAUGCCUGGGUGUGUGUCCUUCUUACAUCACUCUUGUAAUGGUUCAGUGCUGCUACAGGCACUUUGGUGCUCAGAAUUGCAUGCCCGGGGCUCACCUGUGAUUUCAGGUGUCAUUUUAAGUGUGGAGGACACUUCCAUACCGACAGCUCUUCACCCCAAGUCACUGCUUCUUUUCUCACUUUUCUGCCUCAGCUAUGGAACCACUCAGUUUCAGGUGGUAUGGGGAUGGGGAUAGGGAGUGGGGAUUGGAAACAGAAGGGUAAACACCCUAACCUUCUUCCUUUGGAGAGGCAGUUCGGGGUGACGGCCUGUACCCUUUUUAGGGUGCCUGGAAUAGCUGAAUCCCUAUGGCCUCCAGCACUGGCCUGGAAAUGCACCCUUUAUCAGCUUCUCCUUUGCAUCUUGCUCUCUGGCUUCCCGGGCUCCCCUCUGUAGUGAACAGGAGCACUAGAGUCCUUGCCUCAGGCUCCGCUUUCAAGGGAACCUUCCACCACACCUGUGACUCCACAUGAGGAGAUGGAGGCUCUGAGAGGGUACAGAGCUCUGAGAGGGCUGUAGCACAGCUAGUGAGAGGCUGAGCCAGGAUCCAAAAGCAGGGGUGUGUGGAUUCAAAUCUGGGCUCCUCCCACUAUCCCACAGACUGCCCCACAAAAAUAGCCAGCAAGCGUGAAAAUGUUCCGAGUGAUGUGCUAACUAAUGCUCCGAGGUGAAAACUGAAAUUGCUCUGCUGAAAUUGCUUUUGUUUCCUUCCACAGAUACAGGUGUGGAAAGCAUGGGGGAUGGGAGAGGGGAGGGGUUCAAGAGAUGAUGAGAGAAGUAGAAAGAAGCAGUGAGGGAUCUCACCCAUUUACAAACCUCCCCUCCCCUUUCCUGCUCAUUGUCUUUUGGAAGCAAACAAGACACGAGUAAAACAAGCACUAACUUCAGCUUUCCUACUUCCUUUUCUGUGCACAUUUCUUCCUAGAGAGGCUGUUUCCACCCUGCUUUUUUGGGAGGUGACAGGGUGGCAGAAGAGGGACAAAGAAUAGAAAUGAAUGUUUUCUGAGUUGGGUGGGAUAUAGUGUCUUUUUUAAGAAGUCUUUUUAUUAUGGAAAAAUUUAUAAGGAAUAUAAAGAAAUUGUGCAAUAGACCUUCAUAAACCUCUGAUUCAGCUUCACGGUUACUGAGUAGAGACAUCUUUGCCUGUAAUAACUUACUUCAUCAUCAUCGAAUUGUGUGGGCAGUUUUCCGAGGAGGAGAUUGAAGCUGGGAAG
ensembl:lncRNA